AGAGUUUGAUCCUGGCUCAGAACGAACGCUUGGCGGCGUGCUUAACACAUGCAAGUCGAAACGCGAAAAGGGACUUCGGUCCUGAGUAAAGUGGCGCACGGGUGAGUAACGCGUGGAUAAUCUACCCAAUGAUCUGGGAUAACAUCUCGAAAGGGGUGCUAUACCGGAUAAGACCACGGAGUCUCUGGAUUCUGCGGUAAAAGGUGGGGACCUUCGGGCCUACCGUCAUCGGAUGAGUCCGCGUACCAUUAGCUAGUUGGUGAGGUAACGGCCCACCAAGGCUACGAUCAGUAGCUGGUCUGAGAGGAUGAUCAGCCACACUGGAACUGAGACACGGUCCAGACUCCUACGGGAGGCAGCAGUGAGGAAUAUUGGGCAAUGGACGCAAGUCUGACCCAGCAACGCCGCGUGAAGGAUGAAUGUCGUAAGAUUGUAAACUUCUGUGAGAAGGGGACGAAAAAACAGGGCUCAUACCCUGUUCUGACGGUACCUUCAGAGGAAGCCCCGGCUAACUACGUGCCAGCCGCGGUAAUA
rnacentral:rRNA from 1 species